GCAGUCGAACGGCAGCAUGAUCUAGCUUGCUAGAUUGAUGGCGAGUGGCGAACGGGUGAGUAAUACAUCGGAACGUGCCCUGUAGUGGGGGAUAACUAGUCGAAAGAUUAGCUAAUACCGCAUACGACCUGAGGGUGAAAGUGGGGGACCGCAAGGCCUCAUGCUAUAGGAGCGGCCGAUGUCUGAUUAGCUAGUUGGUGAGGUAAAGGCUCACCAAGGCGACGAUCAGUAGCUGGUCUGAGAGGACGAUCAGCCACACUGGGACUGAGACACGGCCCAGACUCCUACGGGAGGCAGCAGUGGGGAAUUUUGGACAAUGGGGGCAACCCUGAUCCAGCAAUGCCGCGUGUGUGAAGAAGGCCUUCGGGUUGUAAAGCACUUUUGUCCGGAAAGAAAUCGCACUUACUAAUAUUAGGUGUGGAUGACGGUACCGGAAGAAUAAGGACCGGCUAACUACGUGCCAGCAGCCGCGGUAAUACGUAGGGUCCAAGCGUUAAUCGGAAUUACUGGGCGUAAAGCGUGCGCAGGCGGUUGUGCAAGACCGAUGUGAAAUCCCCGGGCUUAACCUGGGAAUUGCAUUGGUGACUGCACGGCUAGAGUGUGUCAGAGGGGGGUAGAAUUCCACGUGUAGCAGUGAAAUGCGUAGAGAUGUGGAGGAAUACCGAUGGCGAAGGCAGCCCCCUGGGAUAACACUGACGCUCAUGCGCGAAAGCGUGGGGAGCAAACAGGAUUAGAUACCCUGGUAGUCCACGCCCUAAACGAUGUCAACUAGUUGUUGGGGAUUCAUUUCCUUAGUAACGUAGCUAACGCGUGAAGUUGACCGCCUGGGGAGUACGGUCGCAAGAUUAAAACUCAAAGGAAUUGACGGGGACCCGCACAAGCGGUGGAUGAUGUGGAUUAAUUCGAUGCAACGCGAAAAACCUUACCUACCCUUGACAUGCCACUAACGAAGCAGAGAUGCAUUAGGUGCUCGAAAGAGAAAGUGGACACAGGUGCUGCAUGGCUGUCGUCAGCUCGUGUCGUGAGAUGUUGGGUUAAGUCCCGCAACGAGCGCAACCCUUGUCUCUAGUUGCUACGAAAGGGCACUCUAGAGAGACUGCCGGUGACAAACCGGAGGAAGGUGGGGAUGACGUCAAGUCCUCAUGGCCCUUAUGGGUAGGGCUUCACACGUCAUACAAUGGUGCAUACAGAGGGUUGCCAAGCCGCGAGGUGGAGCUAAUCCCAGAAAAUGCAUCGUAGUCCGGAUCGUAGUCUGCAACUCGACUACGGAAGCUGGAAUCGCUA
rnacentral:rRNA from 1 species